CUGAAACCCGGACCUACAAAUCGGUCUAGAGUCACCAAAUCAGGAAGCAGAGGAAUGGAGCGGACGGUCGUGAUGGAUAAAUCGAAAGGAGAGCCCGUCAUUAGCGUGAAAACCACAAGCAGGUCCAAAGAGAGAGUGAGUAUUGCCUCUGCCAUCUCAGGGCCAGCUGUUUCUCACGAUGGCUCCACGGCCCGUUUGAUCCGCAUUAUGAAAACAGCACUGUUUUGCCUUUAAAAUUGAAGUUUGUAGGAGGCGCGAUAAUUGUGUAGAUUGCGGAUACAGACACACACAUGAAUCCUGGUGCUUUCUGCAGAGCAGUGCCCAUCCGUGUUUGCUUCCCUUACUGGCUCCUGACCGGGAUGUGCCGCCUUCAGACAGAGCAUUGGUUCACACGGCAGCUCACCAUAGGGUGGGAUGGGCCAGACCCAGGCUUUUCGAGCCGG
rnacentral:ncRNA from 2 species